AGAUAUAGAUAUCUAUAUAUUGUCGUAAUACGGACGACAGUUUCUACUCGGAACCGUAAAUUCCGAACUAUGGAUAAAUCAGCAU
rnacentral:ncRNA from 2 species